CAGGACGUUCCCAGGUUGUAUUCCGUAGCAGGCCCUGAAGUGUAGAAAUUCUGUUACUGGUUGAAUAUAUACUGAUCUGGCUUAAAUUCCAGGCCUGCCAGUGGGUGUCACUGUGGUGCUGGGAUGUGAAUGAACUGGAGAGGGGCCAAGAACGGAAGCAGAGGGAACAUUUACCAGGCUUUGACAGCACUUCAGGUAGAAAUGUCCAGUGGGUGAUAGAGAAGCUGAGCCUGAAGCUUAGAAGAGGCCAGAGAAAGAAUUGCAGAUAACAGAUGAGGCCAGGCACACGAAAGAUGCAAGAGAG